rnacentral:rRNA from 1 species
CCUACGUGAGUCAGCAGUGAGGAAUAUUGGUCAAUGGGCGCGAGCCUGAACCAGCCAAGUAGCGUGAAGGAUGACUGCCCUACGUGUUGUAAACCUCUUUUAUAAGGGAAUAAAGGGGGGCACGUGUGCCCUUAUGAGUGUACUUGAAGAAUAAGGAUCGGCUAACUCCGUGCCAACAGCCGCGGUAAUACGGAGGAUCCGAGCGUUAUCCGGAUUUAUUGGGUUUAAAGGGAGCGUAGACGGGUUGUUAAGUCAGUUGUGAAAGUCUGCGGCUCAACCGUGAAACUGCGAUUGAUACUGGCAGUAUUGAGGUCAGGUGAGGUAUGCGGAAUUCGUGGUGUAGCGGUGAAAUGCAUAGAUAGCGCGAAGAACUCCGAUUGCGAAGGCAGCUUGCUAGCCUGACACUGACACUGAUGCACGAAAGUGUGGGUAUCAAACAGGAUUAGAUACCCCGGUAGUC